GAGCCCCGGAGGAAGCCGCCCUCCGCCGGUGCCCUCCCGCCUGCCGGCAGAGGAGAGGAGGGGAGGGCGCCGCGGGGAGCGGGGGCUCGCCGGGGACGGGGCCCGGCAGCAGCCGGGGGCGACGGGGACAGCUCCCCGGGCACCCCUCGAGCACCGGGGCUGGCAGCCGGGGCAAGCCGCGGCGCCCCCUGAGAGCCCCCCCUCACAUCAUGGCCACCCCCCGCCCCUUCAUGGCCACCCCCCCUUCACAUCACGGCCACCCCACUGCCCUGUCAUAGCCACUCCGUGAGGCCGGGGGCGAGGGGGCAGCCGCCCCCCCGCCGCCUCUCAGGUGGCCGCAGCCCCUCAGGAGCAACGCCCCGGGGCUCCAAGGGGGUGCCAGGGGCACGGGGGUGUCCCCCGACAUGGCAGGGGGACGUGUGGGGGUACCCGGCCUGUCAGGUGGCUGUCGCCGUGUGUCUACCGAGAGCCAAACCCGCCGGCUCCCAGUCUUCGUUAAUUACCCCGGGGUAAUGAAGGGAGACGGCCCCGUGCCAAAGAGGCGUGCUGCGGGGGCUGCCCGCUGGCUGUGGGGUUGCCUGCGAGGCUCUGGGUGCUCCUGGUGAAAUGCUAGUUGGGGUGGAGGCAGCGCAGUUGUUGUUAUUGUUAACCUCCUUCCAGGUUAAUUAGGCCUUUCAGCAGGACUAAUUGGCGUGGAAACAGAAGCACGCUGACUUGGCUAUAUUGCUUUCGGCUCCAGAGCCAGCUCUUUGUCAAUGCCAAUACAGGGACCUCUCUGCCAUGCCCUACCGGCAGCAUAAACAUAUCCCUAGCCAGCUCCGGGUUCUGGUUACACCACAAUGGAGAAACUGCAAGGAAGAGGACAGACACUUGAGGAAUGCUGAGUUUUUUUGUAAGGGUGAGAAAGCACGGACAGCUUUUUGUGUCUUCCCCAACAAAUUCUUGAGAAGAAAGAGGAGUGCAGUCCAUGUUGUAUGUACUGACCCUGUUGCCACUGCAAUUAAUAAGAAACCUACAAUAAAGGGGAGAGCAGGCCCAGCUUUAAAAACAAUGAAAAAGCAUAUAGGCCAUGAGGAAAAAUGUGGAGGAAUUGACUUUUGCCAAAUCUGAUUUCAUUAUAAGUUGUUGGGCUUUUUUGUUGUUGUUGUGGUGAUGGUUUUGUGUGUUUGUUUUGUUUGUUUGUUUUAACAGUGCCAUAAUUACUAUGAUUACAAAGUAGGUGAAAUCUUAUCUUUUAUUUGAAAACUUGAGAGUCAUGACAUGAAGUAUACCUGACUCAGGGGCUCAAACAUUAAACACCUGUAUGUACAUACAUAACUGA